AAUCAACGCUGGCGGCGUGCCUCAGACAUGCAAGUCGAACGAUUAAGACUUCCUUCGGGAAGUGCAUAAAGUGGCGCACGGGUGAGUAACACGUAAGUAAUCUACCCUCGAGUGGGGAAUAACGUUCGGAAACGGACGCUAAUACCGCAUAACGCAGCGGCACCGCAAGGUGACAGUUGUUAAAGGAGUAAUUCGCUUGAGGAGGAGCUUGCGGCAGAUUAGCUUGUUGGUAAGGAACGGCUUACCAAGGCUACGAUCUGUAUCCGGUCUAAGAGGACGGUCGGACACACUGACACUGAAUAACGGGUCAGACUCCUACGGGAGGCAGCAGUCGGGAAUUUUGGGCAAUGGGCGAAAGCCUGACCCAGCAACGCCGCGUGAAGGAUGAAGUAUUUCGGUAUGUAAACUUCGAAAGAAUGGGAAGAAUAAAUGACGGUACCAUUUUAUAAGCUCCGGCUAACUACGUGCCAGCAGCCGCCGUAAU
rnacentral:rRNA from 1 species